GAUGAACGCUGGCGGCGUGCUUAACACAUGCAAGUCGAACGGAAAGGCCCAAGCUUGCUUGGGUACUCGAGUGGCGAACGGGUGAGUAACACGUGGGUGAUCUGCCCUGCACUUCGGGAUAAGACUGGGAAACUGGGUCUAAUACCGGAUAGGACCACUUCUUGGAUGUUGUGGUGGAAAGUUUUUUCGGUGUGGGAUGAGCUCGCGGCCUAUCCGCUUGUUGGUGGGGUAAUGGCCUACCAAGGCGUCGACGGGUAGCCGGCCUGAGAGGGUGUACGGCCACAUUGGGACUGAGAUACGGCCCAGAAUCCUACGGGAGGCAGCAGUGGGGAAUAUUGCACAAUGGGCGCAAGCCUGAUGCAGCGACGCCGCGUGGGGGAUGACGGCCUUCGGGUUGUAAACUCCUUUCGCUAGGGACGAAGCGUUUUGUGACGGUACCAGGAGAAGAAGCACCGGCAAACUACGU
rnacentral:rRNA from 1 species